UGACUUUCUUUUAUUUCCAAUUCUACCAAAGAGGACAGAAGAAGCAGCCCAAAGUGAAAGACUUGAAGAAAUAUAGGCAAUGUAAGUAGGAUUAAGUGAUUUUGCUGUUUGUGGUGUUUCCUCGAAGUAGCUGGUUACCUCCAAAUGGGACGACAGUCAUGGAUGUUGAGAUGGCCUACGUCGCAGAUUCGCGAGGACGGGCGGCUGGGAUGUUCGCUAGCGACCUACGACAGCUACAGGCUUUCUGCCUAUGCCUGUAGAAGGGGACUUUGAGAUGUCAUGCUGAAGUUUUCUGGAGAUUAUCUGGUUUCAUUUUUGGGAAGCAGUCCACAUGGAAAAAUGAUGCAGCCAAACUAAAGAUACGCUGGAUUGGUUCUUUCUAAUGUCCCUGUUGUUAAGAACCAGGAAAAUUGAAGAAUAAGAGCGGGAAAAUGUCAAAUUUACUUGGUCUACAACAAAGAAACCCUUUUAUUUUAUUGCUGUUCUUCAUAUACAAGUUCACAGACAAGUCCUUCAACAAUGAGAAAAUGUUUUAAAAAAAUUGUGUAUAAAAAUGUUCAGCUGUUUCUUACAGAGUUAUCUCCUAGUGUUAUGUAGGUGUCAGACCACCAAUUACUCCCUCAAAUUUUGAACGUAUGUAAAAAUAGGCCUACUGUAACACAAAAUAGUGCUUUUGAUGUCAUUGUUUACUUAAUUUAACCAACAAAUUCGCAGAAAUGAAACUUUUGGUGAAAGAGAAAUAUAUUUCGACCAUUUUGAGCUAAAAUUCACUUGUCUGUCAGUUUGCAUUAAACAUUUGGGAUUAAUGCGCUCUAUAGUACACUAAUUUAAGAUUUUCAGAAAACCAGGGGUUAUUUUUGGAGUACCGCUGUUUUGAAGGUCAGAUGUACCAAAUUAAUAGUAGAAUUUUGUAACAGAAUAUUAAUCUUAAUUUGAAAACAAUUUGAUAUUGCAGAACAAAUAUCAAAUGAUCAUUUCAGAAAUACAUUGUGCUUCAAGUGCAAAGUCUUUUCUAACAAUUAACAGUUGUUUUCUGAGCUAGUUCUGAUUGGUCAGGUUUUAUUGUCUGUUUCUUGCUUUUGUUCUAUGGAUAGCUAUAUAUAUAGUUCAGUGGUACCUUUUUUUUUCAGGAUAUGGUGUGGGUUAUUCAAAAGGAUCUUUUUAUGUAAUUUUGAAAUGAUAUACAUUUGAUAUUUGAUAGUAAU
rnacentral:lncRNA from 1 species